AGAGUUUGAUCAUGGCUCAGAGCGAACGCUGGCGGCGUGGAUAAGACAUGCAAGUCGAGCGAGAUUUUUUUCUGUAGCAAUACAGGGAAAAGUCUAGCGGCGAACGGGUGCGUAACACGUGGGCAACCUGCCAACAAGUGGGGGAUAGCUCGCCGAAAGGCGAAUUAAUACCGCAUGUGAUUAGAGUGGACAUCCAUUCAAAAUCAAAGUCGGGGCAACCUGACGCUUCUUGAGGGGCCCGCGGCCUAUCAGCUAGUUGGUGAGGUAACGGCCCACCAAGGCUUAGACGGGUAGCUGGUCUGAGAGGACGACCAGCCACACUGGGACUGAGACACGGCCCAGACACCUACGGGUGGCAGCAGUCGAGAAUUUUUCUCAAUGGGGGAAACCCUGAAGGAGCGACGCCGCGUGGAGGAUGAAGGUCUUCGGGUUGUAAACUCCUGUCAUUUGGGAACAAUGCGCAAAUAUUAACUGUAUUUGCGUUGAUAGUACCAGAAGAGGAAGGGACGGCUAACUCUGUGCCAGCAGCCGCGGUAAUACAGAGGUCCCAAGCGUUGUUCGGAUUCAUUGGGCGUAAAGGGUGCGUAGGCGGCGCGGUAAGUCGGGUGUGAAAUCUCGGGGCUUAACUCCGAAACUGCAUUCGAUACUGCCGUGCUUGAGGACUGGAGAGGAGACUGGAAUUUACGGUGUAGCGGUGAAAUGCGUAGAUAUCGUAAGGAAGACCAGUGGCGAAAGCGGGUCUCUGGACAGUUCCUGACGCUGAGGCACGAAAGCCAGGGGAGCAAACGGGAUUAGAUACCCCGGUAGUCCUGGCAGUAAACGGUGCACGUUUGGUGUGGGAGGAUUCGACCCCUUCUGCGCCGGAGCUAACGCGUUAAACGUGCCGCCUGGGGAGUACGGUCGCAAGAUUAAAACUCAAAGAAUUGACGGGGGCCCGCACAAGCGGUGGAGUAUGUGGCUC
rnacentral:rRNA from 1 species